UUGUACUACAUCAUAAGAAAGAACAUAUGUCCAGCAGGUAGGUUCCAUUUAUAGCAGGAAAACAUUCUUCUUGUUCAUGUUUUGUCACAUCUUUGAUGAUGUUAAUGUUUUCUGUUGAGUCAUGACAGUGAUGGUAAAUAUGUAUUUCUCUGGUUUUAUUUAGUUACAGACAAAAACAAUCAUGCAAACAACUCCAUAGAGGGUGAACCUGUGUAACCAGUCUAAACUCUCAGAUGAAAUCUGCUGCUCCAGAAUCCAGUUAUUAUUCAUUUGGAUUUUGGCAGAUUUUCUUCACAGAGAACAGAAAAGACAAAUCAGUGAGAUCAACCUCUGGCUAAGAACAUCCUGCUGACAGUGACAUAGAGACCCUUUAUGGUUCUCCGUCUGUCUUUUAUUUUGGGCUCAUAUUUUGAAGUUUCCUGUUUUAUUUUGUCAGGUUUCCAGAUUUCAUGUCUUGUGCCUCCUUGUCUCUUGAUUAUUAAUUGGUUUCUCCUGCUGUCAUUGCCCUGAUGUGUCUCACCUGUGUCUUGUCAGCCCCCAGUAUGUUUAUAGCCCUGCCUUCCCUUUGUUCCUUGUCGCAUCGUUUAAUGUUUCUUCCAUGUUGCCACGGUCCUUGUUUUCCAUGCCGUGAUCCUAGAUUCCAUGCCAUGUUGAUGAUUUCUUUUUGAUUUUUGUAUUUUGCAUUUUCCUGCCUUGCGCAGCGCCUUUAGUUAGU